rnacentral:rRNA from 1 species
GACGAACGCUGCCGGCGUGCUUAACACAUGCAAGUCGAGCGGUAAGGCCCUUUCGGGGGUACACCAGAGGCGAACGGGUGAGUAACACGUGAGCAACCUGCCCUUCUCUUCGGAAUAAUUGUUGGAAACGACGCUUAAUGCCGAAUAUGAAUCCCUUUCGCAGGAUGGGGAGUGGAAAGCUCUGCCGGAGAAGGAUGGGCUCGCGGCCUAUCAGCUAGUUGGUGUGGGUAACGGCCCACCAAGGCGACGACGGGUAGGCGGCCUUAGAGGGUGACCGGCCACACUGGGACUGGGACACGGCCCAGACUCCUACGGGAGGCAGCAGUGGGGAAUAUUGGACAAUGGGCGAAAGCCUGAUCCAGCAACGCCGCGUGAGGGAUGACGGCCUUCGGGUUGUAAACCUCUUUCAGCAGGGACGAAGCGAGAGUGACGGUACCUGCAGAAGAAGGACCGGCCAACUACGUGCCAGCCGCCGCGGUAAUAC